rnacentral:misc_RNA from 1 species
UUUCCGUAGGUGAACCUGCGGAAGGAUCAUUACCGAGUGCGGGUUCCAACGAGCCCAACCUCCCACCCGUGUUUACCAUGACCGCGUUGCCUCGGCGGGCCCACUGGGGCCUGGCCCCGGUCGCCGGGGGGCUUCUGCCCCCGGGUCCGCGCCCGCCGAAGCGCCCUGGAACCCUGUCUGAAUAGUGAGUCUGAGUGAAUGAUUAAAUCAUUAAAACUUUCAACAACGGAUCUCUUGGUUCCG